GCCAUGAUAGAUCAACAGUAGAUCGUCUCUCACAUAUGACAAGGCAUUUAGUGGCAUGAGAAAACCACGGUUCGACUCCGUGUCAUGGCC